UACGAAGGGUGCAAGCGUUAAUCGGAAUUACUGGGCGUAAAGCGUGCGUAGGCGGUCUUUUAAGUCCGACGUGAAAGCCCUGGGCUCAACCUGGGAAUGGCACUGGAUACUGGAAGGCUAGAGUACGGUAGAGGAGGGUGGAAUUCCCGGUGUAGCGGUGAAAUGCGUAGAGAUCGGGAGGAACAUCAGUGGCGAAGGCGGCCCUCUGGACCAGUACUGACGCUGAGGCACGAAAGCGUGGGGAGCAAACAGG
rnacentral:rRNA from 1 species